UACAGAGGGUGCGAGCGUUGUUCGGAAUUAUUGGGCGUAAAGGGCGCGUAGGCGGUGCGGUAAGUCACCUGUGAAAUCUCCUGGCUCAACUGGGAGCUUGCAGGCGAAACUGCCGUGCUGGAGUGUGGGAGAGGUGCGUGGAAUUCCUGGUGUAGCGGUGAAAUGCGUAGAUAUCAGGAGGAACACCGAUGGCGAAGGCAGGUCACUGGGCCGCAACUGACGCUGAGGAGCGAAAGCAUGGGGAGCGAACAGG
rnacentral:rRNA from 1 species